AAAUGCAUUUACAUUUCUGUAUACCAUGAUGACAAAUAGGCUUUGUAUGAUUUGUCUUCAUCCAAAUUAACUGAUGCACAGCUCAGUAGUCACACUUGCAAGUCCUCCGGGAUGCGGAUUGUACAUAUUCCCUUAGAGAAAGCCUUCAUGAGGUAGCUCAGUGAGAUGGGUAGAGGAUUGCAGUCAUUACUAUUAUAUACUAUUCUACUUUGAAACUUCUUCCCCUAUGUACUGUUAUUUGAUUCCUAGUGUACACAAACCUGUGACAGCACAGAUUUACCUCCAUGUCAUGUAAUUCUAGAUGAACAUCCACCAUAACACACACAAACCACACAUGUAGAAAGACGUAUCUCCUGGGCAUUUAUUGGAAUGCCAGCAUUGAAAUCCAGAUUUUGGUACAGUACAAGGCUAUCCAGUAUAACUGAGAUCUAGGCAACAGUGAUGGUCCAACAACAGUCAUUCAAACUGCAUGUUCAUAUAUUAAUACCACUUUCUUUUUUUUUUUCCAACUUUUUCAUCAAACAGGUUUUUCAAAAGAUGAUUAAUACAAAUAAAAAGUGAGAGGUGACGGUCAGUCACAACAUUGCAGGACAAAAAAAGUCUCAGUGAAACCUGGUGAAAACAUUUCUUUCAGGUUACUGAUGGAACACAAGAUACAAAACAAAGAGAAAGGAAACAAGGAAUGGUAAAUAGAAUCUGCUGAUUGUUUUUUUUUUAAGUCUGCACCUAUUUGAUGACUUAAGGAUCAAACAGGUGAUAUAUUUAAUGUGGAAAAUGAUCUAGUUUUAGUUUACAUUUUUUAGAGUACAUAACAUAUAGCAAGAACCCAACCCAUAUACACAGAAGUGCAUUUAUACAGGACUCAUGUUGAUUAAUGACAUAUUACAACCCUGUGGUGAUAUUAGGACAUAUACGAGGCACGCAGAAAUGACAGAUUCAUCACCUAUUAUUAACCUACUUGCAGUAAACAUUGGAUUGAGGAUCCUUUGGGCCGAGUCACCUCGUUCCAUCCUCCGAUUUGUGAGGAUCGACUGCCGCUCUUUUUGGCAGCUUUCGUUUGGUCCGCUUUGUCGCUCGUAUCUGAAAGAACUGUCGGCCCCCCUGUCAGUGCAUCCGUGCAAAGGCUCAUGGGACUUUUUUCCUCAGUUGUGUGUGUGAGGUCUUGCGGUGCUUCUUCCUCCGUAUAUUUAUUCUUUUCUUUGUUUCCUUAGGCCUCCGCUUGAAUGCGCUUCCUCCGAGG